ensembl:lncRNA
UGGCUCAGCAGGUAAAGAAUCCACCUGCAAUGCAGGAGACACAGAAGAUGCGGGCUUGAUCCCUGGGACAGAAAAAUCCCGUGGAAAAUGAAAUGGCAACCCACACCAGUAUUCUUGCCUGAAAAACCCCAGGUUCAGAAGAGCCUGGCUGGCUACAGUCCAAUGAGUUGCAAGAGUCAGAUAAGACUGAGCGACUAAGCACUCAGGAAAGAAAAUUACUCCUGGAUGUCACUGACUGUUUUGAGUCGAAGUCCAGCAAGAAUCCUCCUGCCCAUUGUCACUCACUCCAGUAAGAUAAGAUCGAGUCUGGUUCAGAAGCAAAGAAAAGUUCUAGUAUUGGCGAGGCAGGAGCUUGGUACCUGAGCACAGCCUCUCCACACAAGCCCUCCGCAGGGCUGCUCUGCGGCGCUCUUGUGGUGGCGGGAGCGGAGAGGGCCGUGGCCUUUGCCCUUGCUGCGCAGGCGCUUUGCUCUCUGCACUUCCGACGGAGGUGCCGGGCGCAGCCAUGUUGUAUUGAGGUGCGGGCAGCAACUCUUCAGCACACUGUUCGUGGACUUGGGGUGUUGGUGUGGCAGUUCUGUACCGGAAACUCUUAAGGCCUCUGCAUAUGGCUCCCUAGAGAAGUGGCAAUGGUGACAUGGUUGUGUAUGAGAGCACCCACAUUCAUGAGAGAUGCAUGGAAUGAAUGGAGAAGUUAGAGGUGAACUGACAUGAAGUCUGGAGUGUGUUUUCAGGUGAUUUGGCCAAAGGUACCCAGCCCUCCGUAGACGUUCUCUCCGUGGCAAGCACAGAGGAGAAGAUAACAGGGAAGCUUGUGUCACCUGCAAAUUCCUAGUUUGCAUCGUGCAACUGUUAUGCCAGUCUGGAGCUUCUUUGGCAUGGUGUUUCUUAAAGUGUGACCUAGGAACGCCUUGUGAGCCUGAUUAAUACUGGGUCUGCCCCAUACCUGCUGGAACUCUGGAGGUGGGACCUAAGAAUUGGGAUCUUAGCAAGCUAUCUGGGAUUCUUUUGCACACUCAGCCUUGCUCUAGCACUUACUCCACGGUUAUCACCAACAAAUUCAUCCCUAAUAGGCAUUUAGUAUGAACAUUACUUAGCACUUAGCAGGCUACAUUAGAAUUUACACAACACAUCCAGGGAGAAAAUGCUCCCUGGCGAGGAAGCUGUUUCAUCCACUGCUAUUCCACCAAACUUGUAGUUUGGCCUCUGACACAGACCUCUGACUCAAAUGCAUUUAAUUCCUAAAAGAAUCACAGCUUCCUUCUCUCCCUUUCUCUACCCACUCUCGUUCUCCCACACGAUUAUUCAGAACGUUGUUUUUCGUGUUUAAAUAGAACAGCAGCUUUCAGAGUGACUUCUUUACACGGGGUUAAGAUUUUACAUUAACUAGGAUGAAGGCGUAUUCACCUAACACUAUCCACUGCAAUGAAAAAAACUAGUGCCUAGCGGAAAUAAGGAGGAAUUCAGCUCUGAUGAGUGUUGAGGAAUGGACAGACAGAAAGCAUAUAUA